AAGUUUGUGUUACUUUAAGAAUUAAAUUAAUAUUGAUAAUAAAUUCAUAAUUAAAGCAAACUAGAAAAUAAACUAGUUCAGUCAUUGUCUUUUUACAACCAAACCUGUCCUCAAUGAGACAUAAUUCUCUUUAUAGAUCAAAUUUUACAAGCAUUAAAAAAGUCUCAAGGUGACCAGCAUAGUAAAUAAUUGAUAAAAUGCUUUAUAUUUGGGUUAAUCUUUUGUUUUCUUACUUUCUCUCUUUCAGUAUGGUACCUGGCACACACAAAUCUCUGUAAACGUUUGACGUAGCCACCAGCAAUCACAGUAAACAGAGUGAAGCCAUAAAGAAGACCUUUGUUUGGAGGGAAGACAAAGGAUGUCAAAUGAGGCUGCGAUGUCCCGAAAGAUAUCUGAGGCAUAACCAGAUCCAUUCACAUUCACUGCAACCACUACAGGAGCUGGAGGUGACAAAAUUAAUUAAAAUGGGCCUGAUGUAGGCGAGAGUUUCUCUGUGGCUGAGGGGAAGUACAGCUGCUUUGCCCUGUCUGGAGCGCUUCCUGUCCAGCUCAAUAAACUGGUCAGUGAUGUAGAUGUUUUCAAAGUUAUCAUUAUGAAGGUACUGAUUUUUGUACAAAACGGCCCUGUUCACAAACACAUAAAAAACAACUGAAAAUAUGAAAAUACUGAUGGAAAUACAUUUCUACAAUAGAGGAAUAUUAUUAACUACAA
rnacentral:lncRNA from 12 species